CCUACGGGUGGCAGCAGUCGAGAAUCAUUCACAAUGGGGGCAACCCUGAUGGGGCGACGCCGCGUGGGGGAAUGAAGGUCUUCGGAUUGUAAACCCCUGUCAUGUGGGAGCAACAUAAAAAGAUAGUACCACAAGAGGAAGAGACGGAUAACGCGGUGCCAGCAGCAGCGGUAAUACAGAGGUAUCAAGCGUUGUUCGGAAUCACUGGGCGUAAAGCGUGCGUAGGCUGUUUCGGAAGGCGGGUGUGAAAGGCGCGGGCUCAACCCGCGGACUGCACAUGAUACUGGUAGACUAGAGUAAUGGAGGGGGAACCGGAAUUCCCGGUGUAGCAGUGAAAUGCGUAGAUAUCGGGAGGAACACUCGUGGCGAAGGCGGGUUCCUGGACAUUAACUGACGCUGAGGCACGAAGGCCAGGGGAGCGAAAAGGAUUAGAUACCCCAGUAGUC
rnacentral:rRNA from 1 species